UGGGGAAUCUUCCGCAAUGGGCGAAAGCCUGACGGAGCAACGCCGCGUGAGUGAAGACGGCCUUCGGGUUGUAAAGCUCUGUUAUAUGGGACGAACGGGUGUAUGGUCAAUACCCAUACGCCGUGACGGUACCGUAAGAGAAAGCCACGGCUAACUACGUGCCAGCAGCCGCGGUAAUACGUAGGUGGCAAGCGUUGUCCGGAAUCAUUGGGCGUAAAGGGCGCGCAGGCGGUUCGGUAAGUCGGUCUUAAAAGUGCGGGGCUUAACCCCGUGA
rnacentral:rRNA from 1 species